GGUGCUUGUACUGCCUUCCAAAGUGAAGAGGAGAUGAACAUGGCUUUGCAUAGCUGAUGUUCUAUGCCAACUUACCUACUCUUGCUGGUACCGUAGUGGUAUAUUGCAAAUUUCGUGGACGAACAACUCUAGUCACUAGUGGCUAGUGAGCAACACUAACAGACCAGAAUGCUUCGCUAUCAACUCCUGGCUUUCCAUCGGCAUGGUGUUCAGCUGCAGCGGCAUCUGGUCCGGGGAGUUCAAGUUGCUGGAUGGCUGCACUGACACAGGAUGGGUUUGCGUUGGCAAUGCGAUACGGCAGUCAUCCCACAUCACGAGCUACAUGUUUAUGUAAUUUAUAUUGUCGCUCGUCCAGCAACGUCAAGGCUCUGCAUGUAAACACAGGAGAACACCAUAAUACUACUCAGGGGAUAAUAAUUUUGGAUAUCAAUUUCGUGACAAUUAUUAGAUUCACACAAUAUUCACAACGUAUGCAACACGAUGCUGUCUAUUGACACUACUUCAAACUGAAGUGCUCACUACUCCUCUCCCGUUUUCAUCUCCCUCUACCUUAUGAAUACUCUGCAUUACUGGUUUCGUUUCUACCCUUUCCAUUGCUGCCAGCUCCCAGUCUUUUUCAAUGCACAGCACCACCUUGACAGUCAUUUUUGUGAUUUGAUGUACACAUACUUUGAAGUUCAAAUUCGAAUUACAUGAUCAGAUUUUUGUUCCACA